rnacentral:rRNA from 1 species
CCUACGGGAGGCAGCAGUAGGGAAUAUUGGGCAAUGGAUGCAAGUCUGACCCAGCCAUGCCGCGUGCCGGAUGAAGGCCCUCAGGGUUGUAAACGGCUUUUAUUCGGGAAGAAGAGCAGGGAUGCGUCCUUGUGUGACGGUACCGAAUGAAUAAGCACCGGCUAACUCCGUGCCAGCAGCCGCGGUAAUACGGAGGGUGCGAGCGUUGUCCGGAUUUAUUGGGUUUAAAGGGUGCGUAGGUGGCUGUUUAAGUCAGUGGUGAAAUACGGUUGCUCAACAAUCGAGGUGCCAUUGAUACUGAAUAGCUUGAAAUAAUUGGAGGCUGCCGGAAUGGAUGGUGUAGCGGUGAAAUGCAUAGAUAUCAUCCAGAACACCGAUUGCGAAGGCAGGUGGCUACGAUUGGUUUGACACUGAGGCACGAAAGCAUGGGGAGCAAACAGGAUUAGAUACCCUGGUAGUCCAUGCUGUAAACGAUGAGGACUCGUUGUUUGGCUGCAAGGCUGAGCGACUUAGGGAAACCGUUAAGUCCUCCACCUGGGGAGUACGCCGGCAACGGUGAAACUCAAAGGAAUUGACGG